rnacentral:rRNA from 1 species
UGGGGAAUAUUGCGCAAUGGGCGAAAGCCUGACGCAGCCACGCCGCGUGUGUGAUGAAGGUCUUCGGAUCGUAAAGCACUGUCGGGAGGGAAGAAGUUCUGACGGUACCUCCCAAGAAAGCGCCGGCUAACCCUGUGCCAGCAGCCGCGGUAAUACAGGGGGCGCAAGCGUUGCUCGGAAUUACUGGGCGUAAAGCGUACGCAGGCGGCUCGUCAAGUCGGGUGUGAAAGCCCAGGGCUCAACCCUGGAACUGCAUUCGAAACUGGCGGGCUUGAAUACGGGAGAGGGCAGCGGAAUUCCUGGUGUAGAGGUGAAAUUCGUAGAUAUCAGGAGGAACACCAGUGGCGAAAGCGGCUGCCUGGCCCGAUAUUGACGCUCAUGUACGAGAGCGUGGGGAGCAAACAGG